rnacentral:lncRNA from 1 species
CAAGGGCAGGAGGAGGACUCUCCCUUGUGGAAUUGGUCUCCAACUCCCAGGCAUCAAAACUGCCCUCUCCGUCUCUCAGAGAAGUUUUGUUCAGGUGAUGACUCUGGAGGGGCUUGAAAAAUAUUGAAUUUUCCCUGUUGCCAAAGGGAAAGGACAUUUCCCUCUAUCCUUUUCCUUAAAGUAUCGUAUUGAGAUAAUUUUCCCUUGCGAAUCUUUCCUGUGUCCUUUUUUGAUAGGUAUAUGUUUUAUGCUUUUGUUUUUUUAAACUUCUUUCUUUUUUGUGCUCUGGUUUUGUCUGAGGCCGAGUCUCCUCCUCCUCUCCUCCCUCUUCUUUUGCUUGCUUGUUAUUUUGGUAUGAUUUCCAAACUAGAGAAAAGUUGUGACAACACCACAAGCAUCUCCUGCAUAUGACUUUUACCCAGUUCAAUCUGUUGUUUACAUUUUGACCUACUUUUUUCAAAUCAUUUUUUAUGUCUCUACAUAUUUUUUGAGUCACUUGAGAAUUCGUUUGCAGCUAUGAUGCCCCCUGACUAUAACAGUAAUAAUAUAAUAUGCCUUUUUCUGACAGUUUUCUAAGGAGAUGUCCUUUUUCCUAGGCAUUUAUGCCUUUAUUUGUCCUUUUAUUUAUGUCAGGUUUAUAUCACUAUGAACUCAUAGUUCCUUAUCUUAUCCCAUGAAUCACAUUCUAUUACUCCCACUAUCAUUAUUUAUAGUCCCAAAUUUGGCCAUUGGGAGCCUUUUAUUCUGGCUCUUAGGUCCUUUUAAUAGAUCAUUGUCCUUUUUGAGGAUAUUUUCAUACUUUCUGGUAAACAAGAUGUCUGGGCUUAUCUUGAAACUUGCCUGCCCAAGGCUUUAAAUUUUCCCUAGGGACCCUUGGUUCAUUUUAGAGAACUGCACUUAUAAACAAAGGUCUAGCAUUAAUCAUCCUCAUUCUACUGGCUUGCUGUAUAUUCUAGACUUUCUCAGGAAAACAAAAUUAGGAAAUACGAGUGUGUGUGUGUAUGCAUAUAACAUACACACUUACCUCUAUUUUUCUUCUUAAUAUAUC